AUUGAACGCUGGCGGCAGGCCUAACACAUGCAAGUCGAACGGAGUGGCGGACGGGUGAGUAAUGUCUGGGAAACUGCCUGAUGGAGGGGGAUAACUACUGGAACCGGUAGCUAAUACCGCAUACUAUCCGAUGAGCCUAGGUCGGAUUAGCUAGGUGGUGGGGUAAAGGCCUACCAAGGCGACGAUCCGUAACUGGUCUGAGAGGAUGGUCAGUGACCCUGGAACGGAGACACGGUCCAACCUCCGACGGGAGGCAGCAGUGGGGAAGAUGGGACAAUGGGCGAAAGCGUGAUGUGGCCAUGCCGCGAGUCUGAAGAAGGCCUUCGGUUUGUAAAUCACUUUAAGUAGUGAGGCGUUACCAUCAGAAUAAGCACCGGCUAACUUCGUGCCAGCAGCCGCGGUAAUUC
rnacentral:rRNA from 1 species